rnacentral:rRNA from 1 species
UACGUAGGGGGCAAGCGUUGUCCGGAAUCAUUGGGCGUAAAGAGCGUGUAGGCGGCCAGGUAGGUCGGUUGUGAAAACUGGAGGCUCAACCUUCAGAGGUCGACCGAAACCAUCUGGCUAGAGUCCGGGAGAGGAGAGUGGAAUUCGUGGUGUAGCGGUGAAAUGCGCAGAUAUCAGGAAGAACACCCGUGGCGAAAGCGGCUCUCUGGAACGGUACUGACGCUGAGACGCGAAAGCGUGGGGAGCGAACAGG